UUAUCUUGUCGAUGCGACGGUUCCCCCGGGCGACCGGGGGUGAAAAGGGAAGCCGGUUUGAGUCCGGCGCUGUCCCCGCAACUGUGAGCGGCGAGCCCAGUCCGGAUGCCACUGGCCGAAUGGCCGGGAAGGCGGACCCCCGGGGCCCAGACCCGCGAGCCAGGAGACCUGCCGCCGCACGCGUCACGACC
rnacentral:ncRNA from 1 species